UACGUAGGGGUGCGAGCGUUGUCCGGAAGUUAUUGGGCGGUAAAGAAGGCUCGUAGGCGGCCUGGUUGCGUCUGGCUGAUGAAAGCCCGGGGCUUAACCCCGGGUCUCGCAAGUGGAUACCGGGCUAGGCUAGAGUUCGGGCAGGGGAGACUGGGAAUUCCUGGUGUAGGCGGUGAAAUGCGCAGGAUAAUCAGGAGGAACACCG
rnacentral:rRNA from 1 species